rnacentral:tRNA from 1 species
GCCGGAGUGGCGGAAUAGGCAGACGCGCUGGAUUCAAAAUCCUGUGCCCGCAAGGGCGUGUGGGUUCGAUUCCCACCUCCGGCA